GCGCCGCGCCGUGCCACGUCUCUCCGGGCUCUGCGCGAGAUAUAUCCACUGAGGUCAGUCAUUGCCCUGGUUUCCUCGCUCGGAGUUGCCCCUGUCCAAUCGGUCGUGACAACAGUAUUACUGCCGCGAAAACCAGAAAUAUCGGAAACAACGCUUUUCUUAUGGAAGCAUUGCUAAUUUGGAUUAAUGAAUCAUUUAAAUUUCUUACUUUCAAAUCCUUUGUGACCCUCUGAGCGUCGGAAGGAACGUUUCGACAUCAGCGUUCGUGGUUUCGAUUUUGCCGAAUUUGUGUUGUUUCGUUUUUACAGUUUGCUCUGCAUCGGCCAUUUUGACACGCGAAUCUGUACCACUAAAUGGCCUGCUACAUCCCUGACUUCAAAAAUCAUGUAAAAAUAUGAAAACGCAAAUUCAGCUGAAGCGAAACCCUAGACGCUGAUGUCUAAACGUCCUUUUGGACUCUCAAAAAGUUUCAAACGGUUUAAAAGUAUGAAAUUUAAAUGAUUCAUCAGUACAAACUAGCCUUUUCUGCAUAAGAAAAUCAUUGAUUCCCAGCUUUCUGGCUUUCGCGGCAGUAAUACUGACGUCAUACGCAGAUGAUUCUCAUUUUGGAUCUGGGAAUGACUGACCUACAUGGAUAGAUCUUGGAUCUGCGCAAUGGAAUAUUUUACUCACCUCUGUUCUUGUUUUCCAAGUUAUUUCAAUGAUUUAUUUCGUGUAUCGAGUCGGUCUCUGAGCUUUUGGAGUCCGCUUGAUCGUGAGAUUUUCGUAAUAAUUCAGAGAAAUCUAAUAGUUUUUCUCCGCGGUCGUGUUGAAUUUUGUUUUGGAUUGUGCGUGCUGUGAUCAGUUUUGGUACGUGUGAUUGUGCCCUCACAUAGCUUCGAAUCGACGAGCAUAGUGAUUGUUAUUUCAUACAGUGGAGGAAGUACCAGAAGUACCUACAACUAUGUUCACGACCAUUCCGGAAUAUUUGCCAUGCUACUACUUCACCGAUCGGUUAACUGGGUUCAGCUGCUGCAAUUUUCUAAGCAAAGCUUCAGCCACUGAAACAAGAAAAAGAAAUAUGAAAGCAAAGAUCGUCUUGAUGGAACCUAAUUUGACUCACUUUCAUCUGAGGGGUACGGAUGCUAUCGCCUCGACACAUUUUUCCAAGUACAAGUAUAUUUGUCUUUCUGGCAUGGAAGCUGCAUGCUGUACCAAGCCAGCUUGAAAGAAAUGUACACUUGUACUACUUAUUGUCGCCACGUGUAUUUGAUGAAGUUGUUCAACAUUAAUAGACAAAGCAGUGACUUCCAUGAUCGUAAAGGUGUGUUUUUCUGGGAUGGAAGCAGCAUGCUGUACCAAGCCAGCUUGAAAGAAAUAUAUAAUUGUACUACUCAUAGUCGCAACAUGUAGUUGCUGAAGCUGAUCAACAUUAUUAGAAAGAACAGUGAUAUCCAUGAUCGUAGCGUUUAAGUUUUUAAUAUAAAAAUAAUGGCCGUUCAAUAACAAGAGAUCUCUAUUGUCUGUUUUUCCUGUAACGGGACUCGAAGAGGGUGAAAAGUAUAGGGGUCUAAAGAGUUUUCCAAAGAAUAAAUGUGUAUGAAAAUGUU